UGGGGAAUAUUGCACAAUGGGCGCAAGCCUGAUGCAGCCAUGCCGCGUGUGUGAAGAAGGCCUUCGGGUUGUAAAGCACUUUCAGCGAGGAGGAAGGUGGUGAGCUUAAUACGCUCAUCAAUUGACGUUACUCGCAGAAGAAGCACCGGCUAACUCCGUGCCAGCAGCCGCGGUAAUACGGAGGGUGCAAGCGUUAAUCGGAAUUACUGGGCGUAAAGCGCACGCAGGCGGUUUGUUAAGUCAGAUGUGAAAUCCCCGGGCUCAACCUGGGAACUGCAUUUGAAACUGGCAAGCUAGAGUCUCGUAGAGGGGGGUAGAAUUCCAGGUGUAGCGGUGAAAUGCGUAGAGAUCUGGAGGAAUACCGGUGGCGAAGGCGGCCCCCUGGACGAAGACUGACGCUCAGGUGCGAAAGCGUGGGGAGCAAACAGGAUUAGAUACCCCUGGUAGUCCACGCUGUAAACGAUGUCGAUUUUGGAGGUUGUGCCCUUGAGGCGUGGCUUCCGGAGCUAACGCGUUAAAUCGACCGCCUGGGGAGUACGGCC
rnacentral:rRNA from 1 species